CCCUUAGAUGUUCUGGGCCGCACGCGCGCUACACUGACGCACCCAACGGGUUUACGACCUUGCCUGGAAAGGUUGGGUAAUCCUACAAAAAUGCGUCGUGGUGGGGACAGAUUACUGCAAUAACUAAUCUUCAACGAGGAAUUCCUAGUAAGCGCGAGUCAUCAGCUCGUGCUGAUUACCUCCCUGCCCUUUGUACACACCGCCCGUCGCUCCUACCGAUUAAGUGAUCCGGUGAAUAGUUCGGACUGCUGCAAUGCUUGGAUCCCGAGAAUUGCGGCGAAAGUUUAGUGAACCUUAUCACUUAGAGGAAGGAGAAGUCGUAACA
rnacentral:rRNA from 1 species